AACCCAUGAUGUGGGAACUGCCUAAGAAGGUCCUUGAACCUUUCAUGUGCUUCAAAUAGUGUUUUAAACUCUCUUUGCUUGAAUACUGAGAUUUCUUGUCUUAUCUU